rnacentral:snRNA from 1 species
GUGCUUACUUCAGCUCAUAUAGUAAAACUGGACAAUAGAGAGAUCAGCACGGCGCCUACACAAGGAUGACACACAGAUUUAUGUGUUCCUCGUUUUUAUU